GAUGAACGCUAGCGAUAGGCUUAACACAUGCAAGUCGAGGGGCAGCAUGAUCUUAGCUUGCUAAGGUCGAUGGCGACCGGCGCACGGGUGCGUAACGCGUAUGCAACUUGCCUUACAGAGGGGGAUAACCCGUUGAAAGACGGACUAAAACCGCAUACACUUGUAUUAUUGCAUGAUAUUACAAGGAAAUAUUUAUAGCUGUAAGAUAGGCAUGCGUCCCAUUAGCUAGUUGGUGAGGUAACGGCUCACCAAGGCAACGAUGGGUAGGGGAACUGAGAGGUUUAUCCCCCACACUGGUACUGAGACACGGACCAGACUCCUACGGGAGGCAGCAGUGAGGAAUAUUGGUCAAUGGGCGAGAGCCUGAACCAGCCAAGUCGCGUGAAGGAAGACAGUCCUAAGGAUUGUAAACUUCUUUUAUACGGGAAUAACGGGCGAUACGAGUAUUGCAUUGAAUGUACCGUAAGAAUAAGCAUCGGCUAACUCCGUGCCAGCAGCCGCGGUAAUACGGAGGAUGCGAGCGUUAUCCGGAUUUAUUGGGUUUAAAGGGUGCGUAGGUUGUUCGGUAAGUCAGCGGUGAAACCUGAGCGCUCAACGUUCAGCCUGCCGUUGAAACUGCCGGGCUUGAGUUCAGUGGCGGCAGGCGGAAUUCGUGGUGUAGCGGUGAAAUGCAUAGAUAUCACGAGGAACUCCGAUUGCGAAGGCAGCUUGCCAUACUGCGACUGACACUGAAGCACGAAGGCGUGGGUAUCAAACAGGAUUAGAUACCCUGGUAGUCCACGCAAUAAACGAUGAUUACUAGGAGUUUGUGAUAUACCGUCAAGCUUCCACAGCGAAAGCGUUAAGUAAUCCACCUGGGGAGUACGCCGGCAACGGUGAAACUCAAAGGAAUUGACGGGGGCCCGCACAAGCGGAGGAACAUGUGGUUUAAUUCGAUGAUACGCGAGGAACCUUACCCGGGGAUUGAAAUGUAGAUGACG
rnacentral:rRNA from 1 species